UACGGAGGGAGCUAGCGUUGUUCGGAAUUACUGGGCGUAAAGCGCACGUAGGCGGCUUUGUAAGUCAGAGGUGAAAGCCUGGAGCUCAACUCCAGAAUUGCCUUUGAGACUGCAUCGCUUGAAUCCGGGAGAGGUGAGUGGAAUUCCGAGUGUAGAGGUGAAAUUCGUAGAUAUUCGGAAGAACACCAGUGGCGAAGGGCGGACUCUCGUGGACGGUGACUGACGCUGAGACGCGAAAGCGUGGGGAGCA
rnacentral:rRNA from 1 species